rnacentral:rRNA from 1 species
AGGACGAACGCUGGCGGCGUGCCUAACACAUGCAAGUCGAGCGGAGAUUUCGGGGGAGCUUGCUCCACCGGGAUUUCAGCGGCGGACGGGUGAGUAACGCGUGAGCAACCUGCCUUCAACAGGGGGAUAACGCAUCGAAAGAUGUGCUAAUACCGCAUGAGACCACAACAUCACAUGGUGAAGGGGUCAAAGGAGCAAUCCGGUUGAAGAUGGGCUCGCGUCCGAUUAGCUGGUUGGUGAGACAACAGCCCACCAAGGCGACGAUCGGUAGCCGACCUGAGAGGGUGAUCGGCCACAUUGGAACUGAGAUACGGUCCAGACUCCUACGGGAGGCAGCAGUGGGGAAUAUUGGGCAAUGGGCCGAAAGCCUGACCCAGCAACGCCGCGUGAGGGAAGAAGGGUUUCGGCUCGUAAACCUCUGUCCUGUGGGACGAAGGAAGUGACGGUACCACAGGAGGAAGCCCCGGCUAACUACGUGCCAGCCGCCGC